rnacentral:tRNA from 1 species
GGUUUCGUCAUGUAGUUGGUUAUCAUAUCAGUCUAACACACUGAAGGUCUCCGGUUCGAGUCCGGGCAACGCCA